AUUAACAUGAGAAUAUGGACAGUUGUCGUUGGAGCAUUUUCCACGAAGGAAAAACUGACAAACAGGCAUCUGGAAGGAUAAAGAACGCACUGUGCAUGAUUAUCCUGAUCCAUUGAAGUCCAAUGUGGAAACGCAUUUGUUGGGACAUUCACUCGCAAGUUGUGAGAGAAGGAGUGAAAAGUCUGGCAUUGUGGAUGCUGCGCCGCAAAACACGACUGAAAUUCAACAAAGGAAAGGUCACAAGCAUGAAAAAUUCAUUUCACAAAACA